UACGUAGGGGCAAGCGUUGUCCGGAAUUAUUGGGCGUAAAGAGCGUGUAGGCGGCCAGGUAGGUCCGCUGUGAAAGUCCGAGGCUCAACCUCGGAAUGUCGGCGGAAACCCUCUGGCUAGAGUCCGGAAGAGGAGAGUGGAAUUCCCGGUGUAGCGGUGAAAUGCGCAGAUAUCGGGAAGAACACCCGUGGCGAAGGCGGCUCUCUGGAACGGUACUGACGCUGAGACGCGAAAGCGUGGGGAGCGAACAGGAU
rnacentral:rRNA from 1 species